rnacentral:rRNA from 1 species
AGUCGUAACAAGUCUCCGUAGGUGAACCUGCGGAGGGAUC